AGUGAACGCUGGCGGCGUGCUUAACACAUGCAAGUCGAACGAGAACGGGUUAUAGCUUGCUAUAAUUGUCAGCUAAGUGGCGCACGGGUGAGUAAUGUAUAGGUAAUAUGCCUCUUACUAAGGGAUAACAAAUGGAAACGUUUGCUAAUACCUUAUACUCCUUAUUAACAGAAGUUAAUAAGGGAAAGAUUUAUUGGUAAGAGAUUAGCCUGUAUUGUAUCAGUUAGUUGGCGGGGUAAUGGCUUACCAAGACUAUGACACAUAACUGGUUUGAGAGGAUGAUCAGUCACACUGGAACUGAGACACGGUCCAGACUCCUACGGGAGGCAGCAGUGGGGAAUAUUGCACAAUGGACGAAAGUCUGAUGCAGCAACGCCGCGUGGAGGAUGACACAUUUCGGUGCGUAAACUCCUUUUAUAUGAGAAGAUAAUGACGGUAUUAUAUGGAUAAGCACCGGCUAACUCCGUGCCAGCCGCCGCGGUAA
rnacentral:rRNA from 1 species